AGCGAUGUCACGUUGAAACACCGGUUCUCGUCCGAUCACCGAAGUAAAGCAUUGUCGAACUUGGUCAGUAGUUAGAUGGGUGACCACUUGGGAAUAGCUUGUGCUGUAAG